AGAGUUUGAUCAUGGCUCAGGACGAACGCUGGCGGCGUGCUUAACACAUGCAAGUCGAGCGGGGUCCAACUUGUCGCAAGACAAGGGAAGACCUAGCGGCGAACGGGUGAGUAACACGUGAGCAACCUGCCCCGAAGACUGGGAUAACACCGGGAAACCGGUGCUAAUACCGGAUGCCCUCAGAGAGUCGCAUGGCUCAUUGAGGAAAUGGAUUCCGCUUCGGGAGGGGCUCGCGGCCUAUCAGCUUGUUGGUGGGGUAACGGCCUACCAAGGCUCCGACGGGUAGCUGGUCUGAGAGGACGACCAGCCACACUGGGACUGAGACACGGCCCAGACUCCUACGGGAGGCAGCAGUGGGGAAUCUUGCGCAAUGGGCGAAAGCCUGACGCAGCAACGCCGCGUGGGGGACGAAGGCCUUCGGGUCGUAAACCCCUUUCAGCAGGGACGAAAAUGACGGUACCUGCAGAAGAAGCCCCGGCCAACUACGUGCCAGCAGCCGCGGUAAUACGUAGGGGGCGAGCGUUGUCCGGAUUUAUUGGGCGUAAAGAGCUCGUAGGCGGUUUGGCAAGUUGGGUGUGAAAACUCCGGGCUCAACUCGGAGACGCCACUCAAUACUGUCAUGACUCGAGUCCGGUAGGGGAGUGCGGAAUUCCUGGUGUAGCGGUGAAAUGCGCAGAUAUCAGGAGGAACACCGGUGGCGAAGGCGGCACUCUGGGCCGGUACUGACGCUGAGGAGCGAAAGCGUGGGGAGCGAACAGGAUUAGAUACCCUAGUAGUCC
rnacentral:rRNA from 1 species